rnacentral:rRNA from 1 species
AUGUUGUUGCCUGGACCAGACGCCGACAUGAAUGUUGUUGCCAUGUUGAGUUGCAAGAUCAGUAAUCAGAAAGCGCUUCAAACACUAUUGUUUUAUCCCCGGAAAGGGAUCAUGUUUGAACAAUUGUAUUUUCCACUUGUUUACCUAUGGGCUGUUAUAUCAUUGUGCUAUUUUUUGAACUGGCACUGUCAUUAUUAUUAUUUUUGUCUAAAUUUUGCCAGUAUUUCCUUUGGGUGCUUUGCCCAGAAGAGGUUACUUGUUGACUCAGUUUUUGGCAUGUCUGUCUGUCCGUCAGUCUCUGUAUGA